rnacentral:rRNA from 1 species
UACGGAGGGUGCAAGCGUUGCUCGGAAUUAUUGGGCGUAAAGGGUAGGUAGGUGGUCUCAUUUGUCUGGGGUGAAAUCCUUGGGCUUAACCCAAGAAGUGCCCCGGAAACGGUGAGACUAGAGUCCUGGAGAGGGUCGUGGAAUUCCCGGUGUAGCGGUGAAAUGCGUAGAGAUCGGGAGGAACACCAGAGGCGAAAGCGGCGACCUGGACAGGUACUGACACUCAACUACGAAAGCGUGGGGAGCAAACAGG